AAUGGAACCAACCUUGCAAGUAAGAACUGCUUCAGAUUUUAUAUUUUUUUCAGUUUACUACAUACCAGACCUGCCCACUUUGAUCUUGGAGAUACUUCCUGUAGCAGCUGACUUUUAAAGGAAUACUCCAAGCACCAUAACCACUACCGCCCACUGUAGUAGUUAUAUUGCCAAAAGUGUGCUGGUGCCAUAGAAGUGUAAUCAUUCAAGCUCAACCAAUGAAU